rnacentral:rRNA from 1 species
UGUACCUACGGGGCGCAGCAGUGGGGGAUAUUGCACAAUGGGGGGAACCCUGAUGCAGCGACGCCGCGUGGGUGAAGGAGCGUUUCGGCGCGUAAAGCCCUAUCGGCAGGGAAGAAGAUGACGGUACCUGACCAAGAAGCCCCGGCUAACUACGUGCCAGCAGCCGCGGUAAUACGUAGGGGGCAAGCGUUAUCCGGAUUUACUGGGUGUAAAGGGGGCGCAGACGGCAAUGGAAGCCAGGAGUGAAAGCCCGGGGCCCAACACCGGGAAUGGUCUUGGAACUGCAUGGCUGGUGAAA